ensembl:lncRNA
CUGGGAUUGAGACUACUUUAGUUAGAGCAGGCUCUUCCAACUCAUGGCCCAUGGCCACAUGCGGCCCAGCAUGGCUGGCAAUGCAGCCACCCUUUGUUCCAUGCUAUGAAGGCAGAAGCUCCUCACUGCAGAGUGGCCCUGGACACACACUCAUUGCUCAGCAACAGCCAAACAAUCAGUGUGCCAUUAAGGCUAUGCCUAGUGAAUGAAACCAGGGCACGGGAAGAGCAGUUCUGCAUAGUGCUGACUCAAAUGAUGGGGAACGAGAACAAGACUAAGAGCAAGGCAUUUGGAGCCCCCCUCAUGGAUCUGACAAUGGAUGUAUCAUCAGGGACAACUGACAUUCCUUCUCUGCUCUGCUUUGUCAUUGCCAAAAUUAAAGGAAUAACAUGAAGCUGCAGAUACCUGCAUUAGAAGAAAAGUUGAAUGGAGGUGAUAAAGUUACUUUUCACCAGCAGUAACCAGCUGCAUUCAAAGCUAUGAAUACAUCUGCCUCCACCAAAGUGGACACUCUGGUCCAAAUCCAACAGGCUUGGCUUGCAAUGUGGACAGAAAAUGUCUCACAGCUUGAAGCAUUUCAUUUUGCUGCUUCCCCCCGCACACACCAGAGACCCAUCCGGGAGGGAGUGCAGCCAGAGUUAUCCAUUGAGGGCCUUGAAGUGACCAGAACCUGGGGGCUGAUAUCUGAGAAUUUCUGCACCCUCCUCUCUGCAGUUCCUCACUUUUUCAGUCAGUGGCUGAGCAUCCACACAGGCUGUGAGGCACAAGGUCCUUUCUCACAGCAGUUUUUAAAACACAGAGCAGGAACAAAAAGUUAUAUCCUGUCAAGGUUUUGAGAAGUUUGAGUUAUUACAGCUGAGAAUGAGAUUUCGCAACACUAGGUUCUUGCUACAGGAGACAAUGGAGGAUCUGCUGUGUCAGAAGCAAGGUAAUUCAAAUACAUACUAUUGCUUUUUCUUUGACUAGACUUCCGGAGGAAGCAAGUCAGGACUUUUGAAAAUAAAUAGUUAACAAAGCUCCAAUAAUUUCUACUUCUUAAAAUAUUUCCUAUUCUGCUUAUAAGCACUGAUAUCCUCUCUCUGGUGACAGUGUCAGGGCCCGAGGGAACGGCAUGGAGCUGUGUCACGGAAGGGGCAGCUGGGGGUGAGGGACAGGGGCUGCACCACAGGGUGGUGGGCAUGGAACGGGCUGCCCAGGGCUGUGGGCAUGGCCCCAAGUGAUGGAGUUCAAGGCGCGUCUGGACAGUGCUCUUAGACACAGGGUCCAAUUUUUGAUUGGUCCUUUGUAAAGCCAGGAGUUGGACUUCGUGAUCCUUAUGGGUCCUUUCCAACUUGAGAUAUUCUAUGAUGAUUCUAUAGAUAAAAUCUUUCUUAAUAAACCCAUUGUACCUUCUCUAUUGUCUGUAGUCAUUUAGAUUAGGUUGUAACUUCACUUUUCAAGCAUGACAAUGUCCUCCUAUGGUCCUAUCCACUUUCAUUGCCUGCUAUUUUUCCACUGGGGCUUCCUAUUUAUUUUUAGAAUUUUAAUUCUGUAAAUAUUUUCUCAGUUCCUCUCUGUGAAGUAGGCUAUGAUCUCAGGUGUGAUGACAUUAAACUGAAGUGAUU